CUUAGGGAGGUGACAUAGGAGAAAUUUCCCUUUAAAUAGGAGCUCAGAUAGGAGCUCAAGGGACAGUCUGAAACAUUCAGUGAGAGGAUUAAGCUGAUGAAAGCAGCUGAGAUGAUGCUGGCCUGGUGUCACUAGAAUCCCUUGUUUGGACAGAUCUUGUGGAGCACUUGGUCUGUGGAUGAAGAAACUUCUCAGUUCCAUUUAAUCAACCUUCACUACUGUUUGGUGAAGAAUAAAUCUCCUACUCCUGUCUGUCAAAGAUAUAUAAACUGUUUCUCUCCUAA